AUCGCACAUCUGGCUUCAGCCAAUCAGGAUAUUUCUGCUGAUGAUUUUGCACCAUGAUAAGCAAGCCUGGACAUGUUUGAGAACAUGAUGUCAAAUAUAGGUAUGUAUCUCACUUUCAGUCGCACUUUCUCACUCUCUUCUCCCUCAUUUCCUUCAGCUCUCUCUCUCUCCUCGUGUCCUCUGUGUGAUGUAAUGUAAAGCAGAAAUGGUGUCGACUCUUUGACCUUGCCUUAAAUCUUCAGACUGAGAACGAGAGAGGCCUGUUUGUUCUGACUGACAUCAUGUCUUAACCCCAGAUGGCUCCACUUCAACCAAGUUCCUCCUCACGCACCUCCUGAGGAGCAACACACACACAGUGCCGCAGUCUUUGUCUGACUGCUGUGAAAGUCCGAUGGCUCAGGAAUACUAAUCCCACUCGCAUGUCAUUUGGACGGACCAGAGGAGCAGCUAAUGGGGCAGGCGAGAUGAGGAGGAGACACUGUCGAUGGCUGUGUGGCAGUGUGUGUGAGUGGCGGAGUCCUCCCAGCCACAGAGAUAAAGAUUAGCAAAGGCCGAGCUGAACACAGAGGUAAGUGUCUGCCGCAAUAGCCCCAAUCACAUUGUGAAAGGCUCUUCACUCAAAAGCACUGUGUCCUGCACAGGUCCAUUUACUGCACAUGGCACUGCACAUCAUCCCGCUACUGCUGCCAGUGAAAAACAGGCCUUCCACUUUGGGCAGAGUGAGACCUCAAUGGCACGAUCAGGGGAUGGAGAGUGGAAGUGUGAUGAGAGAGGAGGAGUAAGAGAGAAAGAUAAAUGGGCUUAAUGGACUAUCAUGAAUGCAGUGGGCGGAGUCAUGCCAGUGUCACUCAUUCCACCCCCUCUGAAUGAUCUCUGACCUGUCCUUGACUGGAAUUGAAUCCCUGCUCUGGUAGGUGAUGAUUCUUGCACCAACCACAAA
ensembl:lncRNA